rnacentral:rRNA from 1 species
UACGGAGGGGGCUAGCGUUGUUCGGAAUUACUGGGCGUAAAGCGCACGUAGGCGGCUUUGUAAGUUAGAGGUGAAAGCCUGGGGCUCAACUCCAGAAUUGCCUUUAAGACUGCAUCGCUUGAACGUCGGAGAGGUGAGUGGAAUUCCGAGUGUAGAGGUGAAAUUCGUAGAUAUUCGGAAGAACACCAGUGGCGAAGGCGACUUACUGGACACAUACUGACGCUGAGGUGCGAAAGCGUGGGGAGCAAACAGG